rnacentral:rRNA from 1 species
AUGGAUCCCGGGAAGGAGCAGACGGGCACGCCCGAGCCCGGCGCGGCGGCGUGGCGCACCCGCGCGGUGUGCGGCACGGAGUACAGCUGGUGCCGCGCCGUGCCGGGCGGCACCGGCACCACGCUCCUCGCGCUCCGCCUCUCGCGCCGCGGCGCCGCCGCGGCCGAGGCGGCCGUCCGCUCACUCCAGAGCGCGCACCCCGUCCUCCGCGCCCACAUCCGCGCGGCCUCCACCUCCAGCCCCACCCUCGCCCUCCCCUCCCCCGCUCCGCAGCUCGCCCUCGCGCCCCAGCCGUCCGCGCUCGACUUCGACUCACUCCUGGAGCGCGAGCUCAACAGCAACCCAUGGGCGGCCGAGAACGGGCCCGACGGGGCCCCGGUGCUCUUCGCCGCGCUCUACGAGCUUCCCCCGCCCGCGGGCGGCGCGGCUCUGUUCGUCCGGAUCCACACGGCCGCGUGCGACCGCGCGGCGUCUGCGGCGCUGCUGAGGGAGCUGCUGGCGCAUCUGGGCGGCGCGGGCGACCCGGAGGAGGAGGAGGAAGCGGCGGUGGAGGCGGGGCUGGAGGACAGGAUACCGCAGAAGGACGCGUGGAAGCCGUUCUGGGCGCGUGGGGUGGACAUGGUGGGCUACUCCAUCAACGGCCUGCGCACGUCCACGCUGCCGUUCGUGGAGACCGGCACGGCGAGGUCGACGCAGAUGGUGCGCCUCGCGUUCGGCCGCGAGGAGACGACGCGCCUGCUCGAUGCGUGCAAGGAGAACGGGGUGAAGCUUUGCUCGGCCAUGGCUGCCGCGACGCUGCUAGCUGCACGGCAAUCUAAGAAGCUGGACAGUGGCCAGCAGGAGACGUACUCUGUGGCGACCCUGAUCAACUGCCGCCAGUUUCUUGAGCCAGCUUUGGACGAUCACAACGUUGGGUUCUUCUACUCUGCCAUCACCAACACCCACAAGAUACACGGAGAGGAGGGGCUGUGGGAGCUGGCCAAGAGGUGCCACGAUUCCUACAUCAGUGCCAAGAACAGCAAGAAGCACCUCACCGACACCGCCGACCUCAACUUCCUCAUGUGCCGGGCCAUCGAGAACCCGCAGCUGACGACGGCCUCCGCGCUCCGCACUGCGCUCGUCUCCGUGUUCGAGGAGCCGGCAACCUACGACGGCCUGUCCGACCUGCAGAGCAAGGCCGGCGUGGAGGAGUACGUCGGCUGCGCCACCGUGCACGGCAUCGGCCCGUCGAUCGGCGUGUUCGACUCUGUCAGGGACGGGCAGCUGGACUGCGCGUGCAUGUACCCUUCUCCUCUGCAUUCCAGGAAGCAGAUACAGGAGAUAUUCGACAAGGUGAAGCGGAUUUUGGGCGAAGGGUGCAACGCGGGUGAUGAGAAACCAUGA